UCGUAACAAGGUUUCCGUAGGUGAACCUGCGGAAGGAUCAUUACACUUUGCUCUUGGGAUUCCGCCGGCUUAGGCCAGGAGCCCUAGCAAAACACCUCUGUCUAUGUGUACUCAUUGUCCAUCCUUUGGCAGGCCUUACCCCUGCCAUAGGCCCUAGAACCUGAAUUAUAGCAUUUUCCUGAGCCCUAUUAUAAUGUCACAACUUUCAACAAUGGAUCUCUUGGCUCUGGCAUCGAUGAAGAACGCAGCGAAAUGCGAUAAGUAGUGUGAAUUGCAGACUUUAGUGAAUCAUCAAAUCUUUGAACGCACAUUGCGUCCUUUGGAAUUCCACUGGGCAUGCCUGUUUGAGCGUCAUAUCAUCUCAAGCAUCUGCUUGGUGUUGGGUGCUUGUCCUGCACCUAGUGCGGUGGACUCACCUUGAUAACAUUGGCAGUCAGCUUGCUAGCAUAGAGCGCAGCACUUGUGUUAUCUAUGUCCCAGCAGGCUGGCGACCCACCAAGACCCCCUUGUUUGACCUCAAAUCAGGUAGGGAUACCCGCUGAACUUAAGCAUAUCAAUAAGCGGAGGAAAAGAAACCAACAGGGAUUGCCCUAGUAACGGCGAGUGAAGCGGCAAAAGCUCAAAUUUGAAAUCUGGCCUUGGUAGAGGUCUGAGUUGUACUUUGUAGAGGGUGCUUUGGUGUUGGCAGUGGUCUAAGUUCCUUGGAACAGGAUGUCAUAGAGGGUGAGAAUCCCGUAUGCAAUCAUCUGCCUUCCCUAUGUAAAGCCCCUUCAACGAGUCGAGUUGUUUGGGAAUGCAGCUCUAAAUGGGAGGUAAAUUUCUUCUAAAGCUAAAUAUCAGCCAGAGACCGAUAGCGCACAAGUAGAGUGAUCGAAAGAUGAAAAGCACUUUGAAAAGAGAGUCAAAUAGCACGUGAAAUUGUUGAAGGGGAAGCGCUUGUAGCCAGACUUGCCCAUGGUUGUCUUCUUCUGUGGGCAGGCCAGCAUCAGUUUGGGGGGUUGGAAAAGGGCCUCUGUCAGGUAGCAUCCCUAAACCAGAUGACCUUAUAGGCGAGGUGUAGUACAACCAGCCCAGACUGAGGUCCACGCAUUUGCUAGGAUGCUGGCGCAAUGGCUGUCAGCGGC
rnacentral:rRNA from 1 species